rnacentral:lncRNA from 1 species
AUCUGGCUGAGUGAAAUAUCGUAGCAAACAUUUGUGAUUUUUGCUUAUGUCUUAUGAUAAUAGCACCAUGAUUUUCUCCUUAAAGAUACCCAUACCCUAUUCUUAGUUUAUGUAGGAGUAGAACUGAUCCACGGGUGAGCAUGUGACUUAAGUUUCAAAUAAAAAUUGUGAACCAGUUGGAAGCAGCUGGACUCAAUAACAGGGCUUUUGGGGGGAGGGACUGUUAAAAACACAGAAUCUCUCUUUCUCAUGGGGUUAAUGAGCAGAUAAACUAUAACAUAGCUAUUGCUGGCAGUCAUCAUGCCAUCAUAAAGCAGCUGACUUCCAAGAGUCUGAGCAGAAGUGGUUGGAUUUGACCUUGUUACUUCAAAGCAUCCAAUGCACUCUUAAAGAUAAAGGAAAACAUCGCUGCCUCAAAACAAAUGGACUGCUGGCUCCAAGCAAUCAUUUGAAGGGACCAUCCAUCUGUUACCAAAUCACUAUUUCCUCUGAGGCGCACGUGUAUGCAACACAAUACAGAUGCUUUACUUGGGGGGAAGGAGAAAGUGACUACAACAACAGGAAAGCGGGUUACUGCUACACCAUGAAUCAAGCCACCAAAAACGGGGGAAAAAGGUGCUUUCUGUACUUGCAAGUGUAACCACAUCAUGGUUGGAGCCAUUCAGAACAGGGACGAUUCAGGUCAUGGUCACGGUCUUGUAUUCUGCUGGAGUGUACAGGCAGUAGUGACUAUCGUGUGGGCAUCCAUGCCUCUCCUGAAGCAAAGGAGCACCUGGCUCCCCCUUCAUGCAGCUGACCAU